rnacentral:rRNA from 1 species
GACGAACGCUGGCGGCGUGCUUAACACAUGCAAGUCGAACGGAAAGGCCCUGCCUAUGUGGGGUGCUCGAGUGGCGAACGGGUGAGUAACACGUGAGUAACCUGCCCUUCACUUUGGGAUAACUUCAGGAAACUGGGGCUAAUCCCGGAUAGGAGCUCCUGCUGCAUGGUGGGGGUUGGAAAGUUUCGGCGGUUGGGGAUGGACUCGCGGCUUAUCAGCUUGUUGGUGGGGUAGUGGCUUACCAAGGCCUUGACGGGUAGCCGGCCUGAUAGGGUGACCGGCCACAUUGGGACGGAGAUGCGGCACAGACUCCUACGGGAGGCAGCAGUGGGGAAUAUUGCACAAUGGGCGGAAGCAUGAUGCAGCAACGCCGCGUGGGGGAUGUCGGCCUUGGGGUUGUAAUCCGCUUUCGCCUGUGACGAAGCGUGAGUGACGGUAAUGGGUAAAGAAGCACCGGCUAACUACGUG